UACGUAGGUGGCAAGCGUUGUUCGGAAUUACUGGGCGUAAAGCGUGCGCAGGCGGCUAUGCAAGACAGAUGUGAAAUCCCCGGGCUCAACCUGGGAACUGCAUUUGUGACUGCAUGGCUAGAGUACGGUAGAGGGGGAUGGAAUUCCGCGUGUAGCAGUGAAAUGCGUAGAUAUGCGGAGGAACACCGAUGGCGAAGGCAAUCCCCUGGACCUGUACUGACGCUCAUGCACGAAAGCGUGGGGAGCAAACAGG
rnacentral:rRNA from 1 species